AGGAAGACGACAAAGAAGCAGGGGGAGGACGACAAGGAGGAGGGCUGUUGAAGCGCUGCAACCCCUCCUUCUGCUCACCGCGGUACUCCCUGGCCCCGUGGUGCCUUGCUCCCUGGAGAAACCAGAGCAGCCCAGGGGCCGAGACUUUUAUCACGCAGGAGAACCCACACCUUCACCCACCGCCUUCUGGAACGCUGCCCAGGCGGUGGCAAGCCCGGGAUGCCUGUGACGAUGGAGGAGCUCCGCUGGGCAAGGUUGGAGAGUGGAGUGGAGGUUCUUCCUCUUUGGCCCCAGGGGUGCCCGCUCCGAGGUUUCCCCCUCCCAGUCCUAGCUCCGAGCUCCGAGGGACUAACCUCACGAUACAAGGGACUGGCUUUGCGCCAGCAUCCAGCCUGCUGGGUUAAGUGACUUACACGGAGACU